GAUGAACGCUGGCGGCGUGCCUAAUACAUGCAAGUCGAGCGAACGGACGAGAAGCUUGCUUCUCUGAUGUUAGCGGCGGACGGGUGAGUAACACGUGGAUAACCUACCUAUAAGACUGGGAUAACUUCGGGAAACCGGAGCUAAUACCGGAUAAUAUUUUGAACCGCAUGGUUCAAAAGUAAAAGACGGUCUUGCUGUCACUUAUAGAUGGAUCCGCGCUGCAUUAGCUAGUUGGUAAGGUAACGGCUUACCAAGGCAACGAUGCAUAGCCGACCUGACAGGGUGAUCGGCCACACUGGAACUGAGACACGGUCCAGACUCCUACGGGAGGCAGCAGUAGGGAAUCUUCCGCAAUGGGCGAAAGCAUGACGGAGCAACGCCGCGUGAGUGAUGAAGGUCUUCGGAUCGUAAAACUCUGUUAUUAGGGAAGAACAUAUGUGUAAGUAACUGUGCACAUCUUGACGGUACCUAAUCAGAAAGCCACGGCUAACUACGUG
rnacentral:rRNA from 1 species